rnacentral:rRNA from 1 species
UACGGGGGGGGCAAGCGUUGUUCGGAAUUACUGGGCGUAAAGGGCUCGUAGGCGGCCAACUAAGUCGGAUGUGAAAUCCCCAGGCUUAACCUGGGAACUGCAUCCGAUACUGGAUGGCUUGAAUUCGGGAGAGGGAUGCAGAAUUCCAGGUGUAGCGGUGAAAUGCGUAGAUAUCUGGAGGAAUACCGGUGGCGAAGGCGGCAUCCUGGACCGACAUUGACGCUGAGUGAGCGAAAGCUAGGGGAGCAAACGGGGAUUAGAAACCCUUGGUACGU